CCUUGAUCAGAUUUGCGUCUCACUCAGAAGGAUCAUCCUAACUACAUGGGGAGACCAGUGAGGAGCUGCUGCCUCUGUCUGGGUGACAGCCGCCUGAAAGGCUGUGGCAUCAGAGUAGGGGGGCGACCACAACAAAGAGAGGUGCGAGCAGAGGCCGGACAUUCGUACCCCAGCACCGUCCACAUAAUCGGUGCUUCCCGGGUGUCUUCUGAUCAGUCACAGAGGAGCCGUGGAUGGCAAUUAGGGGGUUACCUGCUCUUUCCCCGCCGCACCCGCUCCAGGCUGGGGGUCCUCUCCUCUGACCUCAGAGUCUUUCUGCAGACCGCCCACAUGGUCCCUCUCCCUGGCGGUGUCACUCCUGCAGCUUAGAGGUGCUAUGCAGGACCCAUCAUCCAAGAAAACGUACCUCCUGCCCAUGAGAAGCUUGUGAUCAAGAGAGAGAAUAGACGACACGAAUGGUGUCCUGAGCAGUUUUACCAUCGGCAGGCUUUUGUCUUCCACCUCAUUUGCCCCUUGCACCUCGCGGAGACAGCUGCUGUCAUGCUUUGCAUCUCAUCAGGCUUUUAAGAAGGAGAGAGUGAACCAGGGUGAGGCCCGAGCUGCUGAGACAGAAUUAAAAAGGAGCUGCUGCAAGCAGAGAGGGCGCAGGGCUUCACAAAGAGGCAUUUUCAGACGGGGCCCCUGGUGUGGAGCUCUGACUCCAGGUUGGCUGUAAAUUAAUAUCAAACACUAAAACGGCCUCACUCCCCUCUCCUACGAUUGUGGUGAUGGGCCCUCACGACUGGGCUACCAGCUUUCAUAUAAUGCUAAUAAAGAGAGACACAUAGGA
ensembl:lncRNA